UCAAGUGACUAAGUGCAUGCGGCGGAUGCCUUGGCGAUCACAGGCGAAGAAAGACGCGGCAGCCUGCGAAAAGCUGCGGGGAGCUGGCAAACGAGCUUUGAUCCGCAGAUAUCUGAAUGGGGGAACCCACACCGCAAGGUGUAUCCGUAGCUGAAUACAUAGGUUACGGAGGCGAACGAGGAGAACUGAAACAUCUAAGUAUCCUCAGGAAAAGAAAUCAACCGAGAUUCCGGCAGUAGCGGCGAGCGAACCCGGAGGAGCCCAGCUUUUGAUAGUACGAACUUUAGCCGAAAGGUCCUGGAAAGGCCUGCUAUAGUGGGUGAUAGCCCCGUAGGCGAAAGAGUUGGUACGGUACUAAGGAAGCGAGAAGUAGAGCGGGACACGUGGAAUCCUGUUCGAAGACGGGGGGACCAUCCUCCAAGGCUAAAUACUCGUGAUCGACCGAUAGUGAACCAGUACCGUGAGGGAAAGGCGAAAAGAACCCCGGGAGGGGAGUGAAAUAGAACCUGAAACCGCAUGCAUACAAACAGUAGGAGCCUCGUCAGAGGUGACUGCGUACCUUUUGCAUAAUGGGUCAGCGACUUACAUUCUGUGGCGAGCUUAACCGAAUAGGGGAGGCGCAGCGAAAGCGAGUUCGAAAUGAGCGUUCAGUCGCAGGGUGUAGACCCGAAACCAGAUGAGCUAUCCAUGGCCAGGUUGAAGGUGUGGUAACACACACUGGAGGACCGAACCGACUAGUGUUGCAAAAUUAGCGGAUGAGCUGUGGAUAGGGGUGAAAGGCUUAACAAAUCUGGAGAUAGCUGGUUCUCCCCGAAAACUAUUGAGGUAGUGCCUCGUGUGUCGCUCCAGGGGGUAGAGCACUGUUUUGGCUAGGGGGACAUGGAGUCUUACCAAACCAAGGCAAACUCCGAAUACCUGGAAGCGUGAGCACGGGAGACAGAGCACCGGGUGCUAACGUCCGGACUCAAAAGGGAAACAACCCAGACCGCCGGCUAAGGUCCCAAAUAACAGCUAAGUGGAAAACGAAGUGGAAAGGCCGUGACAACCAGGAAGUUGGCUUAGAAGCAGCCAUCCUUCAAAGAAAGCGUAAUAGCUCACUGGUCGAGUCCUUCUGCGCGGAAGAUGUAACGGGGCUAAGCUGUUAACCGAAGCCGCGGAUGCACUGGUAAUCCAGUGCGUGGUAGGGGAGCGUUCUGUAAGUCUGCGAAGGCGGUUCGAGAGGACUGCUGGAGAUAUCAGAAGUGCGAAUGCUGACAUGAGUAACGUUAAAGCAGGUGAAAAGCCUGCUCGCCGUAAGCCCAAGGAUUCCUGCUCUACGUUCAUCGGAGCAGGGUGAGUCGGCUCCUAAGGUCAGGCCGAAAGGCGUAGCCGAUGGGAAUCAGGUUAAUAUUCCUGAACCUGCGUCAGAUGCGAUGGGGGGACGGAGCAUGGAAGAUCAUCCGGGUGUUGGAAGUCCCGGUUGUUGAGCGUAGGAGGUCUGCAGGCAAAUCCGCAGACGCAUCUCCAAGGCAAAGACACGUGCCGCCACGGCGGCGAAGUGAUCGGAAGUGCUUCCAAGAAAAGCCUCUAAGCACCAGUCUGAUGCGGACCGUACCGUAAACCGACACUGGUGGGCGAGCUGAAUAUGCUCAGGCGCUUGAGAGAACUCGGGAGAAGGAACUCGGCAAAUUGACCCCGUAACUUCGGAAGAAGGUGUGCCGUAGUACCGUGAGAGGAGAGACACCUUGAGCGGGAAACGGUCUCAGAGAAUAGGUGGCUGCGACUGUUUAUUAAAAACACAGCACUCUGCAAAGUCGAAAGACGACGUAUAGGGUGUGAUGCCUGCCCGGUGCUGGAAGAUUAAUUGAUGGGGUGAGAGCCCUUGAUCGAAGUCCCAGUAAACGGCGGCCGUAACUAUAACGGUCCUAAGGUAGCGAAAUUCCUUGUC
rnacentral:rRNA from 1 species